UAUCAUUGAUUCACUAGUCAAAUGUGUGUUUAGUCAUAUAUCAUAGAUUCACUUGUCAAGAGUGAAUCUAUGAUAUAUGACUAAACACACAUUUGACUAGUGAAUCUAUGA
rnacentral:pre_miRNA from 1 species